rnacentral:rRNA from 1 species
GACGAACGCUGGCGGCGUGCUUAACACAUGCAAGUCGAACGGUAAGGCUCCAGCUUGCUGGGGUACGCGAGUGGCGAACGGGUGAGUAACACGUGGGUGACCUGCCCUGCACUUCGGGAUAAGCCUGGGAAACUGGGUCUAAUACCGGAUAGGACCAUGGUGUGGAUACUGUGGUGGAAAGUUUUUUCGGUGUGGGAUGGGCCCGCGGCCUAUCAGCUUGUUGGUGGGGUAAUGGCCUACCAAGGCGGCGACGGGUAGCCGGCCUGAGAGGGUGGACGGCCACAUUGGGACUGAGACACGGCCCAGACUCCUACGGGAGGCAGCAGUGGGGAAUAUUGCACAAUGGGCGGAAGCCUGAUGCAGCGACGCCGCGUGGGGGAUGACGGCCUUCGGGUUGUAAACUCCUUUCACCAUCGACGAAGGGUUUCUGACGGUAGAUGGAGAAGAAGCACCGGCUAACUACGUG